GACGAACGCUGGCGGCGUGCUUAACACAUGCAAGUCGAACGGAAAGGCCCUGCUUUUGUGGGGUGCUCGAGUGGCGAACGGGAGAGUAAAACGUGAGUAAACUGCCCUUGACUCUGGGAUAACUUCAGGAAACUGGGGCUAAUACCGGAUAGGAGCUCCUGCUGCAUGGUGGGGGUUGGAAAGUUUCGGCGGUUGGGGAUGGACUCGCGGCUUAUCAGCUUGUUGGUGGGGUAGUGGCUUACCAAGGCUUUGACGGGUAGCCGGCCUGAGAGGGUGACCGGCCACAUUGGGACUGAGAUGCGGCCCAGACUCCUACGGGAGGCAGCAGUGGGGAAUAUUGCACAAUGGGCGGAAGCCUGAUGCAGCAACGCCGCGUGCGGGAUGACGGCCUUCGGGUUGUAAACCGCUUUCGCCUGUGACGAAGCGUGAGUGACGGUAAUGGGUAAAGAAGCACCGGCUAACUACGUG
rnacentral:rRNA from 1 species